rnacentral:misc_RNA from 1 species
GGAGAAACUCCUAAACUUACUUGUGCUGUAUAAAAGACCCAGAACAUAAUUCAGUUUGACUUAUACUGAAUUGUGUCACAAGCAAUUGGGGAAGACUUUCUUUUUCUUGUUGCUUCUAAUUUGCAGAAUUUAGUUUUUCCUUAAUAUGCAUAAAUGAGCAAUGAUGGAUUUUGUUUUCUCAGCUUCUUUAUUUUCUUUGAUUGAUCCUAGUAUUUGUCUGAACUGUCUUCCAUUGCCUCCGCUUUGACCAUUGUGAUGACGACACUCAAGUUUAUUUUGUUUUCUCUAUAUUUGAACUGUUUUGCCUUAUAAGACUCCUCAGUGAACAGAUUUCCUUAUCUAAUAGGUGCUUGCUUUCAUUCUAUGGGUAAAGUAAAAUCUCCCAAAACAAUUGGAUCUUUGACUUGG